rnacentral:rRNA from 1 species
GACGAACGCUGACGGUGUGCUUUAGACAUGCAAGUCGAACGAGAAAGCCCUUCGGGGUGAGUACAGUUGCGAACGGGUGAGUAACACGUGGGCAACCUGCCCCUCGCAGGGGGACAACCGGAGGAAACUCCGGCUAAUACCCCGUACGCUUCUCGGGCCGCAUGGUCUGUGAAGGAAAGGUAGCUUCGGCCAUCCGGCGAGGGAUGGGCCCGCGUUGCAUUAGCUAGUUGGUGGGGUAACGGCCCACCAAGGCGACGAUGCGUAGCUGGUCUGGAGGAAUGAUGAGCCACACUGGGACUGGAACACGGCCCAGACUCCUACGGGAGGCAGCAGUGGGGAAUCUUGCGCCAAUGCGGGAAACCGUGACGCAGCGACGCCGCGUGGGGGAAGAAGGCCUUCGGGUUGUAAACCUCUUUCAGGAGGGACGAAGCCACUCGGGUUAAUAGCCCAGAGGGUGACGGUACCUCCAGAAGAAGCCCCGGCUAACUACGUGCCAGCAGCCGCAGUAACAC